AGAAGAAGUGAGAAGAAGAAUGAACCAAGCUUUCAUCAGGGAGCUCCUGAUCUCACUGCCCUGCCUCACUCGGGCAGUUCUUCCAGGGAUCCAGAUGGCACCCCUGUGAGUGUAGCUGGCACAAAGUAGGAGCUCACACAGGGGACACACAUUCCCUCCUCCCAGAUAACAUGCAUCCACAGGAAAGAGCACUUUGCCACAUGCACACGAUAUCAGAAUAUCUCAGCCCCUCCCUCUGUGGGAACCAGGGAAAAGCUCUGGUCCUUUCAAAGCCUGAGGCAGAACUCAGGCAGAGGCUAUGAACUGGUGCUGGGAAAAGCAGAGAUCUCAGAGUGUUCUCCCUAGUUUCUGAUUCAGGUUGAGAAUUUCCAGGAAUCUGGGGAAACUCCAGGUAAUUUGAAGCAGGGGGAAUAUCUGCUUAAAGAAUCCUUUCUUUCUAUAGGUAAAAAUGUGCAGCCCGGAUUCUAUGGCAGUUUACUUAUUUGCUUUUCUGUGCAGUUCCAUUUUUUUCCCCAUUUCACUCUAUAAAUUAUGAAUUUGAUUUUUAUGUCCACCUUGCAUCAAACCUCAGGUUUGUGCAAGGAUAUUUUAUUCAGCAACCUGCUAUCUGUGAUUAGAGAAAAAGGAAAGGAAAGGAAAGAGAACAAACAAUUUAAAAACAAAAUGAUGCAGAGAUAAAGUAUCAGUUAGUGGAGAAAGAAGUUACCGAAAUUGUACAGUUAGUGCUCAGUAGAUUGUUGAUGAGCAAUUAAUCAUAGAUAAAAUAUAUUAUGUUAUUUUUUACAAUAAUGAAAAGGAUUUUAAAGAUCUUUUUAAAUCUCUAGGCUGAGUGCCAAAAUCUCCAUUAUUUUGAUGUUUAAAAGUACAAAAAAAAAGGGGGGGGGGAAGAAGAAAGAAGAAAAAGUACUAAAAACAUUGUAGGUAAAUAUUUAGUUUCUAACUUCCCCUUCAUUUACUUUGGUAUACAAUAUUUAUAAACAUUUAAAAUGUUCAUGUAUUUCUGAUUUCAGUUCUUUGGACAAUUCUUUUUCCCCUUACAAACCAUACUUUAAUGCAGCGCACAACUUGGAGAGGGGUGGGCACGGCCUUCUUGUGAGCUUUCGGAAGACCUUAGAAGCCUUCUGAAGCAUCGUGAGAAGGGAGCGCGUGCUUUGGAGAAGCGCACAUGUGCAGUCUGGAGAGUGGCCUUCUCGUGAGCUUUCAGAAGUUUUUCAUGGGAUGGGAAGGGCAAUAGUUCUUCCUGGGGGUGGCUGGCGCCGUAGUGCUUAUUGCUACUUGGAUUUUAUAUCUAUUUAUUCUCUAUUUACAUUGGUCGUUAGUACUGUAAUUUAUGUGUCUUAUGGUUUUUGGGUGGUUUACAAUAAAAUUAACAAAAACCAGUCCCCUUUUUGUAAGAGAGGGGCGGUGAUAGAAAUUUGAAAAAUAAAAUAAAAUAAAAAAUAAAUAUAAUAUUCCUUGAUUUCAGCAGUACAAUUGUAAAGGGUGGGUGUGUCAUUUCGUUGUGGUAGGGUGAAAAAUCUUGUUAACCUCCUGCUGUAUCUACUAUAGAGAUCAAGCAGUACAGCUCUAUCUAUCUUUGGCCUAUAGUAAGAACUUUUCUGCACAAUCCUGAAAGGUUAAUCUAUAGGUGGUGCUCCUAGGAGAUUUAGGAUGGCAUGGGGAAUUACACCAAUAAAUGAAGAGAAGCCACCGACUGGCCGCCUGCCAAAAACUGUGUCAAGAGAGCAGUUUGAAGCGAAUACUGUUUGGCAUAAGAAUGAGCUAGCAAAAUAAGACAGAAUUUGAAGUACAAUUGUGUACUGACGAUGAACACGUAAUUGCUGAAAUGUAUAAACUUUGAAACAGAGGACAAACAGGUUAAAGAAUGUAUGAUAAAGUGGGCCAAGAAUUUUGGUUAUAAUAUACAGAUGGAGCAAUGGGAAAAUAUGUGGUUAAAAGGGUUGAAAUUUACAUUGUGGUAUGAUCUCAAAGAGAAUUUUUAUAAAAUGAUGUAUCGUUCGUACAUGAUGCCAGAGAAAUUAUUUAGAAUGUAUAAAGGCACUUCAAAUGUAAGUUGGAAAUGUGAACAAUCUGAAGGGACGUUUUAUCACGGUUGGUGGGCAUGU